rnacentral:rRNA from 1 species
AGCGAACGCUGGCGGCAGGCCUAACACAUGCGAGUCGAACGAACCUUUCGGGGUUAGUGGCGGACGGGUGAGUAACACGUGGGAACGUGCCUUUAAGUUCGGAAUAACUCAGGGAAACUUGUGCUAAUACCGAAUGUGCCCUUCGGGGGAAAGAUUAAUCGCCUUUAGAGCGGCCCGCGUCUGAUUAGCUAGUUGGUUGAGGUAAUGGCUCACCAAGGCGACGAUCAGUAGCUGGUCUGAGAGGAUGAUCAGCCACAUUGGGACUGAGACACGGCCCAAACUCCUACGGAAGGCAGCAGUGGGGAAUCUAGCGAAAUGGGCGGAAGCCUGACGCAGCCAUGCCGCGUGAAUGAUGAAGGUCUUGGGAUUGUAAAAUUCUUUCAACGGGGACGAUAAUGACGGUACCCGGAGAAGAAGCCCCGGCUAACUUCGUG